AAAUUGAAGAGUUUGAUCAUGGCUCAGAUUGAACGCUGGCGGCAGGCCUAACACAUGCAAGUCGAACGGUAGCACAGAGAGCUUGCUCUCGGGUGACGAGUGGCGGACGGGUGAGUAAUGUCUGGGAAACUGCCCGAUGGAGGGGGAUAACUACUGGAAACGGUAGCUAAUACCGCAUAACGUCGCAAGACCAAAGUGGGGGACCUUCGGGCCUCACACCAUCGGAUGUGCCCAGAUGGGAUUAGCUGGUUGGUGAGGUAACGGCUCACCUAGGCGACGAUCCCUAGCUGGUCUGAGAGGAUGACCAGCCACACUGGAACUGAGACACGGUCCAGACUCCUACGGGAGGCAGCAGUGGGGAAUAUUGCACAAUGGGCGCAAGCCUGAUGCAGCCAUGCCGCGUGUAUGAAGAAGGCCUUCGGGUUGUAAAGUACUUUCAGCGAGGAGGAAGGCGUUGUGGUUAAUAACCACAGCGAUUGACGUUACUCGCAGAAGAAGCACCGGCUAACUCCGUGCCAGCAGCCGCGGUAAUACGGAGGGUGCAAGCGUUAAUCGGAAUUACUGGGCGUAAAGCGCACGCAGGCGGUUUGUUAAGUCAGAUGUGAAAUCCCCGGGCUCAACCUGGGAACUGCAUUUGAAACUGGCAAGCUUGAGUCUCGUAGAGGGGGGUAGAAUUCCAGGUGUAGCGGUGAAAUGCGUAGAGAUCUGGAGGAAUACCGGUGGCGAAGGCGGCCCCCUGGACAAAGACUGACGCUCAGGUGCGAAAGCGUGGGGAGCAAACAGGAUUAGAUACCCUGGUAGUCCACGCCGUAAACGAUGUCUACUUGGAGGUUGUGCCCUUGAGGCGUGGCUUCCGGAGCUAACGCGUUAAGUAGACCGCCUGGGGAGUACGGCCGCAAGGUUAAAACUCAAAUGAAUUGACGGGGGCCCGCACAAGCGGUGGAGCAUGUGGUUUAAUUCGAUGCAACGCGAAGAACCUUACCUGGUCUUGACAUCCACGGAAGUUUUCAGAGAUGAGAAUGUGCCUUCGGGAAC
rnacentral:rRNA from 1 species